GUGGUGUGUGUGUGUGUGUGUGUGUGGUGUGUGUGUGUGUGUGUGUGUGUGUGUGUGAUAAAGAAGGUCUUCUUGGGCUUAUUCAACAAGAUAGAAACAUAUUGUAUAGAACUGAUUCAAUGCUUUACUCCACAUGAUAUUAAAAAUAUUGUCUCUUGUACAGCAAUAUAUUUCUAUCCACAGACUGAAUAGGCCCCCUUAGGGACGAGUGGAGAUGUUUUGAUACGGUCUGCGCUCGUCAAUAGCCGACAUCGAAAGUGCAAUCAAUGAGGAGAUUGGAGAGAUUUAUGACUCCAGAGACAAGGUCAUACACUAGAACUGAGGUCUUCAGCCUAUGACUGUGCACUAGAACUGAGGUCUUCAGCCUAUGACUGUGCACUAGAACUGAGGUCUUCAGCCUAUGACGUGCACUAGAACUGAGGUCUUCAGCCUAUGACUGUGCACUAGAACUGAGGUAGCAAAGCAACACGUCCAUUAGGCAUGACCUUUUUGGUUUCUGAGGCAGGAAUUUCGGGAGGACACACAGGAACUGACAUGAUCCCGUUCAGAACCAUAGAGUUCAGAACACUCAAGUAGGAGAACUGCAGUAGUUAUCAAAGCCGGUCCUGGCGGAUCCUUUUGUAUCCAGGUUUUCCUUCCAACCUUCACACAAUUAUAUUCCAUUGAUCUGAUAUGCACUACAUUAUUCAAUUGAUAGAUUGAGUGAAAAACCUACAAGAGUCCUCUUGGACCGGUUAUGAACCUUAUGAACCUCUGUUAAAUAGGUUACGUGUGAAGAGGCCAAGAAAUAUUUUGAUAGAUUUUGUGACAAGGUAGUGCUCUGAUAAAGAGGGUACCAUGUGAGCUUGUGUAGGGGUCCCUGGUUUUAAACUGCCGUAUCUGCCGGUGUGACUGCCCCGCAGUGACAUUCCAAUGCAGAAAGACAACUAACCACUUUUACUCACGACGACUUCACUCACUUUCAAUGGACACGCUUCGCAAUGCCACCGGACAAAAUUUGCAGAACCCCCCAACACCCUUACUCCCCCUCUUCUCUCCUCCAACCACUCUCGCGCUCUAAUCUGAAUAGUUCAAAGUCCACUGCCUCUUAUUAAACGCUGCACUUUUAUGACGCAAGAGGCCUAGGUAAUCGAUAGGAUGGAAAUCUGCACAAAGACAGAGAUCACAAGAUGGUGGAUUGAUAGGCGAGUCGACACUCCAUAUACGUCUACUGAUUAGGAUUAUGCAGAUGGAGAUGGACCACUGAGAUGGCUGCAGUCUGAGAAGGGUGAAAUAUUAAUGUCAGAUUUGGGAUUAAAUCAUAUUGAAAUCUUUCGAACACGUUUGCUCUAGCAUGCUUGGGGUUUUGCAAAUGGAUGUGGUUUGCAGUUAUGGCCCUAUUUUGUCCAUUAAGCCAGGCCAGCUCAAUCAAGCACAGAUAAAGUAUUUGAAAUUAUUUCAAAUAUUAUUUGAUCCUAGGUCUGAUAUAACCASUGGCCCUGAACACUACUCUUUCCCCUUCACAAGUUGAAUGUGGCAAGCAUUUCCCAAAGGUGACGAUUUCAAAGAAAACCAUAGCAUUCUUUUUUUUAAUUUUUUUUUUAAUUUGGAGAGGUUGUGUUUAUGGUGAUGGUAGAUGCAAGAAGAAAGUGUUUUGAGUCAAUAUGUGUAAUUUGCUGUUGUUUGUUCCUGGAACCUUGUGUCAAUUAUAUACGUUGUAAGAUUUUCAA